CUUUAAUUCUUGUAGAUUGUUGUGAAGAGUUUUGUUCGCGUCCACUGUGUCGUUCCCGGUAUACGGUCGGGAACCUCCUGUUCAUGCBGSCUUSUUGUGGUUUUUGUGUGGGGUUUUAYACGUGGUADUACC
rnacentral:rRNA from 1 species